GUUUCCUGAGAAUCUUGUGCAAGCCUGUUUUCAGCAGUAUAAGACACAGCGCAGAGAGAUCGAAGCAACUAAACCCAACAUAAACGCAACUAAUGCAACUGCAUUUCCACCAUUCACCACCAUUAUUUCAACUGUUGCACAGAAUUUGACCAAAGACUACAAGAUUGUGGGCUCAUAUUCAGAUGGCC